CCCGGCCUUGACAUACUAAGAACUUUCCAGAGAUGGAUUGGUGCCUUCGGGAACUUAGAUACAGGUGCUGCAUGGCUGUCGUCAGCUCGUGUCGUGAGAUGUUGGGUUAAGUCCCGNAACGAGCGCAACCCUUUUCCUAUUUGCCAGCGGGUCAUGCCGGGAACUUUAAGGAUACUGCCAGUGACAAACUGGAGGAAGGCGGGGACGACGUCAAGUCAUCAUGGCCCUUACGGCCAGGGCUACACACGUGCUACAAUGGUCGGUACAAAGGGUUGCUACCUCGCGAGAGGAUGCUAAUCUCAAAAAGCCGAUCGUAGUCCGGAUCGCAGUCUGCAACUCGACUGCGUGAAGUCGGAAUCGCUAGUAAUCGCGGAUCAGAAUGCCGCGGUGAAUACGUUCCCGGGCCUUGUACACACCGCCCGUCACACCAUGGGAGUUUGUUGCACCAGAAGUAGGUAGUCUAACCGCAAGGAGGACGCUUACCACGGUGUGGCCGAUGACUGGGGUGAAGUCGUAACAAGGUAAGCGUAGAUGA
rnacentral:rRNA from 1 species